GAUGAACGCUGGCGGCGUGCCUAAUACAUGCAAGUCGAGCGAACAGACGAGGAGCUUGCUCCUCUGACGUUAGCGGCGGACGGGUGAGUAACACGUGGAUAACCUACCUAUAAGACUGGGAUAACUUCGGGAAACCGGAGCUAAUACCGGAUAAUAUAUUGAACCGCAUGGUUCAAUAGUGAAAGACGGUUUUGCUGUCACUUAUAGAUGGAUCCGCGCCGCAUUAGCUAGUUGGUAAGGUAACGGCUUACCAAGGCAACGAUGCGUAGCCGACCUGAGAGGGUGAUCGGCCACACUGGAACUGAGACACGGUACAGACUCCUACGGGAGGCAGCAGUAGGGAAUCUUCCGCAAUGGGCGAAAGCGUGACGGAGCAACGCCGCGUGAGUGAUGAAGGUCUUCGGAUCGUAAAACUCUGUUAUUAGGGAAGAACAAAUGUGUAAGUAACUAUGCACGUCUUGACGGUACCUAAUCAGAAAGCCACGGCUAACUACGUG
rnacentral:rRNA from 1 species